rnacentral:lncRNA from 1 species
AGGACCCUGCAAGGGGCAGGCUGGAGGCAGGCGUCUCAGGUGAGCGCACUGGGGGAAUGGACACCCCAUGCGAGAGAGGAGAGUAAGCGGAGCUCCAGGAGGGGAGAGCGAGAGAGGCAACAGCUGGAGAGAGCGCGCGGACUCCUACAAAACACCGGGAACUUCCACCUAACAUCUGCAGGCGACAGGAAGCAUUGAACACAACUUGAAAUCUUAUGUACCUGCCAUGACUCCUCUCCAAGAGGAGCAUCUCCUCAGAGGAGGGGAGUUUUCUCCUCUCACAGGAAAUCCACAGCGUGUUAGACACAGCCAGACAGACAGAAGGAGGGUAGAUAUCAACAAGUAAAAGGACAGAAGAUGACUUUGGCAGUUAUGCAACAAUUACAGAAAAAGAAUUUAAAAGAAACUAUUUUUUUCCACUUGAAGUCCAGAGUACACGUUAUUACAAACCAUCAUCUGGAGUUGGACUAUGACAUUCACUGCAGUCUUCAGAAAAUGGAAAGUCAGUCAUACAGGCUUUAUUCAAGGAGAGCCAUAUCAAAUAUUUUAAGAAAUGACUACAUCAGUGCUGGGCAAUGUGAUAGAUCUUAAUUUCUUCUACAGAUCUAGGACAAACUUAUUGUCAUUGUUUUAAAAUACCAGACUCAUAGGUGAAAAACAAAGAUUCUUGUCAUGCGCAUAUUAAAUAGAUCUAUAGUAAACUGUUGCUGUAUUUGUAUCUUCGGUUUCACUUCAACAUAACAAAAGUAUUCAGUGUCCUCGAGUUUGAGUUAGAAAUAUUAAAACUUGCACGCAGGAAAUGGUUAUUAGUAUCCUGAAACAGCCAUACUCGAUUCCAAACCAAGGAAGAGGUGAAAGUGCUGUGGUGUGAACAAA